UACGGAGGAUCCGAGCGUUAUCCGGAAUCAUUGGGUUUAAAGGGUCCGUAGGUGGAUGAUUAAGUCAGGGGUGAAAGUCUGCGGCUCAACCGUAGAAUUGCCCUUGAUACUGGUCAUCUUGAAUUACUGUGAAGUGGUUAGAAUAUGUAGUGUAGCGGUGAAAUGCAUAGAUAUUACAUAGAAUACCGAUUGCGAAGGCAGAUCACUAACGGUACAUUGACACUGAUGGACGAAAGCGUGGGGAGCGAACAGG
rnacentral:rRNA from 1 species